UACGAGGGGGGCAAAUGUUGUUCGGAGUCACUGGGCGUAAAGGGAGCGUAGGCGGGUUUUAAGUCAGGUGUUUAAUCCCGGGGCCCAACCCCGGACAGGCACUUGAAACUGGGAAUCUUGAAUAGUGGAGAGGUCAGUGGAAUUGGGGGUGUAGCGGUGGAAUGCGUAGAGAUCCCCAAGAACACCCGUUGCGAAGGCGGCUGACUGGACACAUAUUGACGCUGAGGCUCGAAAGCAUGGGGAGCAAACAGG
rnacentral:rRNA from 1 species